GCUGUACGGGCGGCAGGUGGGCGGUGAGAGCUGCCCGGGUUCGGGGGGGUGGUUCGUCCUCAGAGUGCUGUGGGACGGCUGCGUCCAUACGGUGAAGGAAAGGUCUGUAGAGAUACUGAGAGAUGGGAUGUGAGGGGAGAUGCGCCUGAGGGAGGGCUGGGAGCGAAGCGAGGGUGGAUUUUCCAGCGCGAUGCUUCACGUGCCUUCCAUAGGGCAGGGGGAAGUAAUUUUGAUUAUUAAUUGCUUUAUUAAUUGCUUUCUUGUUGGACAACUAGGACUGACUGCUAGAGCUUCAGCUCUCUUCCACUGUAAAAAGCUUCUCUUGCAGCUUUCUUGCUGUGCGCAUCCCUAAAUUAUUUGCACCGAAGACCAGCUUUUUGUCUUUCUGUUUUAAAUUUUUCCUUCUUCAGUGCUACUGCUAAGCUUCCCAAGCUUAAGGUGGUUUUGCUACCCUACGAUACCUUCCUUCUUCUCUGGGCAAUGGAGCUGUGAAGGAUCUGGAGCACAAGUCUUAUAGGAGGCAUGUCAGGAAGGUUCAGUGUGGAGAAGAAAAGGUUCAGGAGAGACCUCAUUGCUCUACAGAUCCCUGAAAAGAGGUUGGAGUGAGGUGGGCUCAGCAUCUGUUCCGAGGUAACAGCGAUAGGAUGAGAAGUGAUCACCUCAAGUUGCAACAGGGGAGGGUCAGGUUCUGUUAUCUUCAAAGACAGAAUAAUAGCUUUCUUCUACAGAGUACAUUCUUGCCUGCCUGUAAUGACAGGAGGUCAUCAGCAGCUCUGAAAGAUGUUGCAGUAAUUUGUAUUAAUAAGUCAUUAACUUCCAGACUUGGUUGCCCGAGUGCACAAGCCAAGAUGAUACAUCUUUCCACUUACACCUGCAAAAAUGCACAAGAGACUUAUAACUGAGACAUAGCCUGAAGAAAGUUGAUGAGGUUGUUAGUUGUCUCUGUCACAAAUGACAAGUCUAUGGAUGUUCUGGUCUUUUCUUCAGACUUAGAUGAAACCUGCAAAGGACAGAAAGUUGUUUUUGCUGAAGGAGCAACAGCUGUAAGAAGAAAAAAAAAAACAUCAAGCCAAAAAAGCUAGAGGAAGCCAGUGAGAAGAACUACAAUUGGUUAUGACUAAUCUGUUACAAGCUUAAGUUUUCUUGUACCUUAAUGGAUCUUUUAACUUUAUUUAUAGAGUCUAUUUCUUUUUAAUUUCUUUUAAAAGUUAAGACCUUUUUUCAUGAAGUACAUGAAGUAUAUGAAGCUUGAAUACUUUGGCUAAGAAAUCUAUUAGCAUCUAGAGUAACAAUACAGCAACAGCAUUUCAGAUUUUUUAUUAAAUAUACGUUAGUAAAUCACAAGCAAUAAAUCUGAAGUAUCUCACACCCCUUUGCUGUGCCCUCACUUUUCAGUGAUAGUUAAAGAACGAUGUAAAAAAAUUCCUUUUUGUUUGUCUGUUUGAGAUGGUCAAUGCAGAUAAAUCACUUAAGCUUAGGAAAACAGGUAAUUAUCUAUCAGCAAGCUCAUUCAUUUCCAGCCUGUAGGUGGAUGUAGUUUCAAACAGAAAAUGACAUUCUAAAUAUCCACAUGGACCUGUUAACUGUGGGAGAAAUGUGUAGAAUGCCCCAUGUAAAAUGAGCAUGCUACUUUUCAAUAGAAAGCUUUAUUUCAGUGUCAAAAAUGCUAUGUGCAUUCAAGUUGAAUUAUGCAUCUUGUUACUUCUCAAGAUGGUUGUGCUUCCUGAUCAACAAGGUCAAGAGUUUCAUAAGACCUUGCAUGCUUUACAUAAAGCAUACCUCAAGUGGGAAUGACACUGCAGGAAUAUUUACGUUUUCAAGGCAUUCUUUGUAUUUGAAUGACAGCUGAAUGAACCAUCACUUAAAAGAAAGAGGAAAACAAAUGAUUUUUUUGUUAAAUUAAUCAAACUGUUAAGUAUGGAAGGAACAUCUAGCAACCUAUAAUGAUCAUUGAAGUUGCAACAGUAAAUUUUGGAGGAAAAAAACUGCUGCUGUCCUGUUUUGGAGAUUACUAUGAUAGGUUACUAAGUUUUAAAAAUUUAAAAAUUUCUUCCUGCAAAUUAAUGAAGUAUUUUCUAAAAACUGAGUAGUGUUCCAUAAUGGAAUUUUGGCAAAUUGAAACGUGUUGCUGUGACAGUUCCUAUUUUAUCUGUUUUGUAUUAUAAAUAUGUCAAGGUAAGUCAUUCUUGUCAAAACAGAACAUUAUCUUUCCUUUUGGGAAAAAUUACCAGGCCUUUUCUCAAUGCUCUCAUUUUACAUAUUCAACAAAAUAAAGAUAAGGGCUAAUUCCAAAUGCUUUCAUUUACAUCUGCAUAAUCGUAAACCCACAUAAAUACAGCUUUAGUCUUACAAAUGAGUCUGAAGUAUUAUAUAGGUAUUGUUAGCUUUGCGUCUGGCUACUGCUCUGUAUAACAAGUGACUAAAAAAUAAAUGAUAUUUAACAUUGACAAAACCGUUCUUAGUGGUUUCUCAAAUAGAAGUCAAUGGCAAAGAUAGAGGUCAUUGCCAGAAAAUAAUAAUGGUUCUGGGUUUUGUUCAAUUAGAACAAUACCACGUGAAAUACCAUGUGAAGUGGAUGCAGGAAAUUGCAUCAACACCUUUCUAAAUAAGAAACAGAUGGGCUCAGAGAUACAAACCAAAAAAUAGCACAGAUUUAUCUUACAGAUAUUAUUGAUGAAAUCUUUCAUAAGGAGCUUAUUUAAUGUUUGUUCCAGUGGACCACUGUAAGUGUUAACUGAGUAAGUUUAAAUCAAGAGUAAAACAAAUGUAUAUUUCUGCAUCCAUUAAUUUACAGUGAGAUGAAGUUAACCCAGAAUUUUUAUGAGGAAAAGAAUUUACCAAACUGAGAGCUGAGUCUUCACAUUCCCAGGUAGGGAGAGAAGGAUAGUUUUUUGACAUCAAGAUAUAAGAACUAUAUGUUGGAGAAGGAGCUGUGAAAGAUAGGCGUCACUUGUGUGGGGCCAUAAGGUUGGUAAAUUACUGUUAAAGAUAUUUCUUCAAUUAAAAUUUGUAGGUUCGCCUCAGAAUGCAGAUAUCAGCUCUGUCCUAUAUACACUGAUCCUAGAUUUUAAGGCAAAGAUUUUUUGUUUGCUUGCUUUUUGUAUUGUCAGGAGAAACAAUCAACAAAGAUAAUUUGGUGUCUGCAAUUGGUUUCUGGCACAGUCUCUCAAAAUGUGAUUCAAGUAUUACAAGGGCAGCAAGGUUUUCUUGAGUUGCGUUUAUUUGAUUAAUGACAGUGUAUUAUUGCUUCUUCGAAGGUGCUAAUGAACAAGGAAAGGGAAAAGUCCCGAAUACAGGAACAAUAUGACGAGGGUGCAUAUGAAAGGAGAGACAGGAUAUAAAGUUCUGAAAAAGGAUCCAGAUGAGAGCUGAUUUAAGGCAGUCUGCUUGUAGAGUUAGUCUUCUUGUUCUUUCUAAACCAUGGAGUUUGCUCAGAUUUUCAGUAGUUGGAAAUGAAAGAGGAGGAUGCCUCAUAUGACAGUAUAUGAGCAGUUAAUAUUUUCAUGAAAAAAAUGAUUGUUAUUAAAAGAGCAGCUCUUGAUUGUUUUUAAUUUUCAAACUCUAGCUAGCUCCACUGUCCAUACGUAUGCUAACACCAAUAAUUCUUUUGCAGCUGACUUGCAAAGAACAAUAUACACUUAUUUGAUGCUUUUAUUUUAAUGCCUCAAUGUUUUUGUCUUAUUAGCAGGUUAUAAAUACUGCUGAAUAAUAAAAAGAAAAGUGAAAGUGCUUCUGAUCGAGAGCUUGUGUGUAUAAAGCCACCAAGAAAAAAAUGUGAGGGUUCUGAUUCUCUUAAAGAACAAUCAGCUCAAGGAUGUCGUGUGUUGUCACAGGCAUUUAGAUGUGUCUGUUAUUACACUGUGUGUGCUGUGCUUAGAAAAACAGUGUGCAUCAGAUGCUAUAUUAUUAUGCAUCUAUCUUUGCUGACAUGACAGCAUAUAUAUGGGUAUGUACAGGCCUUAUGUUGUGCCACGGGUGAUUCAGAUUGGGUGUUAGGAAAAAUUUCUGCUCUAUUAGAGUGGAGAUGCAUUGGUACAGGCUGCACAGGAGGGUGAUGGAAUCACUAACCCUGAGGAUA